CCCCCAUCGCCUUCCGCCGCCAGCUGCUGCCCCCCACCGCCACCCGUCGCUGCUCCGCCACCAUCUUGCACCGCACCUUUUCACCGUUUUGCUUUUAUUAUAAUUUUAUGACAUGCAGAGAAUAAAAUUCGAUGAAGUGCCUUUGUGAAGUUGGAUCAUGCUACAGUACUCCAGACUUAUGCCACUUAUAUAACUAUAUAUAAUUGUAUAUAACUAUAGUCACGUGUAGUAAUAUAUAUUUAUAUGUAUGUUAUGUGUUUUUUAAUGUAUAGUAAUGCGUGUUCAUGUUUUAAAGAU